UUUGGUAACUGGGAAUCCAACUCGAGAACCUUCAGUUUUAUUUCACUUAAAAUAUCUUCAAAAUGGACUAGGUUUCUCAGGGCAAUGGUAUAGAGAGACUUUCACCUCUAGGUAGCUUGUUCAGAUCUGACCCAGAUGGAGAUAGAGUGGAAAAAGGAAAAAACCCAACCCAUUCUGUCAACAAGAAAGCCUUCCAAAGUGGUGAGACACAGCAGAGAUUUUGUUGGAAAUGAAGGUGCUCAGCUUCCAAGAUGGGAAGGCUGAGGCACAGAGAGACUAAUUCAUUUGUUUAAAGUUAGUCAGGAUGUCAGUGGCAGAGACCAAAGUAAGAACUGGAAUUUUUGUUUCCCAAC